CAGUGAAAAGCUUUUGUUGCGUGCUAUCCAGACAGAUCACCUUAUAUACAGCGCCCUCCAUAGUGUCGGGGACAAAGACCCAUCAUUUAUUUAUUUGCCUCUCUACUCCACAAUUUGAGAUUUGUAAUAGAAAAAAACCCACAUGUGGUUAAAGUGCACAUUGUCAGAUUUUAUU